AUGGUGUCCCCAUCACAGCUCCUUGGGCUUCUGCUCCUCUGGGAUCUAGCCUCCAGUGGUGAGAUUGUGCUGACCCAGUCUCCAGCCUUCCUGUCUGGGACUCCAGGGGAGAAAGCCACCAUCACCUGACGGGCCAAUCAGGGCAUUAGCAACUACUUACACUGGUACCAGCAGAAGCCAAAUCAACCUCCAAAGCCCACUAUAAAGUAUGUUUCCGAGUCCAUUUCGGGGGUCCCAGCACGAUUCAGUGGCAGUCGAUCUGGGACAGAUUUCACACUCACCAUCAGUAGGCCAGAAGCUGAAGAUGCUGCAACUUAUUACUGUCAGCAUAGCUAUUAUCAUCUUUACACCAUGUUACAACCUAGAACAAAAACUUGCUCAGCAAUGGUGAACAGAGAAACUGGGCAAAAUCAUGCACUUCUUCUGAUUCUUGCAGGUGCAGUUGGGGCAAUGAGCUCACCAAUACCACAAGUCUGGCUCACCCCCAACAGAGAUGAAUCCCAAGAGGGACUGUCUCAAAUCCUCCUUUCAUCUUCACCCACAGUAAUUCUUCACACUAAGUGA